GAUUUGUAUAUCAGUCACAAACCAAUAAACGACAAGUACACAACCAUUUCGGAGCCACUACAAAAAUUAAAACAAAAAUAAUUCCAGAAACCAAAAAUCGCCUACACGUUCAACUCAACAGCUCCUCAUAUCAGUCACAAACCAACAACAAAAACUACAUAACUAUUUUGGAACCACUAAAAAAAUUAAAUUAAUAAAACAAAGACCAAUUAAUAACAAACCAAAAAUUGCCUACAACUUUAAAUUAUUUUAUUCACAAACCAGCAUUCAACGUGUACACAACUCUUCAUAAACUAAAAUAAAACAAAUUAAAUUCGAAUAAGGACCUGGUAGCUGCAUAAAACUGGAGCCCUGUGACA